rnacentral:rRNA from 1 species
GUUGUAUGGUUAAGUGACUAAGCGUACACGGUGGAUGCCUGGGCAGUCAGAGGCGAUGAAGGACGUACUAACUUGCGAUAAGCGCAGAUAAGGCAGUAAGAGCCGUUUGAGUCUGCGAUUUCCGAAUGGGGAAACCCAACUGCAUAAGCAGUUACUGUUAACUGAAUACAUAGGUUAACAGAGCAAACCGGGGGAACUGAAACAUCUAAGUACCCCGAGGAGAAGAAAUCAACCGAGAUUCCGGUAGUAGCGGCGAGCGAACCUGGAUUAGCCCUUAAGCACUCGGUGAAGUAGGUGAACAAGCUGGAAAGCUUGGCGAUACAGGGUGAUAGCCCCGUAACCGACGCUUCAUCGAGCGUGAAAUCGAGUAGGGCGGGACACGUGAUAUCCUGUCUGAAUAUGGGGGGACCAUCCUCCAAGGCUAAAUACUCCUGACUGACCGAUAGUGAACCAGUACCGUGAGGGAAAGGCGAAAAGAACCCCUGUGAGGGGAGUGAAAUAGAACCUGAAACCGUGUACGUACAAGCAGUAGGAGCACCUUCGUGGUGUGACUGCGUACCUUUUGUAUAAUGGGUCAGCGACUUAUAUUCAGUGGCAAGGUUAACCGUAUAGGGGAGCCGUAGCGAAAGCGAGUCUUAACUGGGCGCUCAGUCUCUGGAUAUAGACCCGAAACCGGGUGAUCUAGCCAUGGGCAGGUUGAAGGUUGAGUAACAUCAACUGGAGGACCGAACCGACUAAUGUUGAAAAAUUAGCGGAUGACUUGUGGCUAGGGGUGAAAGGCCAAUCAAACUCGGAGAUAGCUGGUUCUCCCCGAAAGCUAUUUAGGUAGCGCCUCGGACGAAUACUACUGGGGGUAGAGCACUGUUAAGGCUAGGGGGUCAUCCCGACUUACCAACCCUUUGCAAACUCCGAAUACCAGUAAGUACUAUCCGGGAGACACACGGCGGGUGCUAACGUCCGUCGUGGAGAGGGAAACAACCCAGACCGCCAGCUAAGGUCCCAAAGUAUUGCUAAGUGGGAAACGAUGUGGGAAGGCUCAGACAGCUAGGAUGUUGGCUUAGAAGCAGCCAUCAUUUAAAGAAAGCGUAAUAGCUCACUAGUCGAGUCGGCCUGCGCGGAAGAUGUAACGGGGCUAAGCAAUACACCGAAGCUGCGGCAAUAUCUUUUAGAUAUUGGGUAGGGGAGCGUUCUGUAAGCCGUUGAAGGUGAAUCGUAAGGUUUGCUGGAGGUAUCAGAAGUGCGAAUGCUGACAUGAGUAACGACAAAGGGGGUGAAAAACCUCCUCGCCGGAAGACCAAGGGUUCCUGUCCAACGUUAAUCGGGGCAGGGUGAGUCGACCCCUAAGGUGAGGCCGAAAGGCGUAAUCGAUGGGAAACGGGUUAAUAUUCCCGUACUUCUGACUAUUGCGAUGGGGGACGGAGAAGGCUAGGUGGGCCAGGCGACGGUUGUCCUGGUUCAAGUGCGUAGGCUUGAGAGUUAGGUAAAUCCGGCUCUCUUUAAGGCUGAGACACGACGUCGAGCUGCUACGGCAGUGAAGUCAUUGAUGCCAUGCUUCCAGGAAAAGCCUCUAAGCUUCAGAUAGUUAGGAAUCGUACCCCAAACCGACACAGGUGGUCGGGUAGAGAAUACCAAGGCGCUUGAGAGAACUCGGGUGAAGGAACUAGGCAAAAUGGUACCGUAACUUCGGGAGAAGGUACGCUCUUGAUGGUGAAGUCCCUCGCGGAUGGAGCUGACGAGAGUCGCAGAUACCAGGUGGCUGCAACUGUUUAUUAAAAACACAGCACUGUGCAAAAUCGCAAGAUGACGUAUACGGUGUGACGCCUGCCCGGUGCCGGAAGGUUAAUUGAUGGGGUUAGCGCAAGCGAAGCUCUUGAUCGAAGCCCCGGUAAACGGCGGCCGUAACUAUAACGGUCCUAAGGUAGCGAAAUUCCUUGUCGGGUAAGUUCCGACCUGCACGAAUGGCGUAAUGAUGGCCACGCUGUCUCCACCCGAGACUCAGUGAAAUUGAAAUCGCUGUGAAGAUGCAGUGUACCCGCGGCUAGACGGAAAGACCCCGUGAACCUUUACUACAGCUUGGCACUGAACAUUGAACCUACAUGUGUAGGAUAGGUGGGAGGCUAUGAAGACGUGACGCCAGUUGCGUUGGAGCCGUCCUUGAAAUACCACCCUUGUAUGUUUGAUGUUCUAACUUAGACCCGUUAUCCGGGUUGAGGACAGUGCCUGGUGGGUAGUUUGACUGGGGCGGUCUCCUCCCAAAGAGUAACGGAGGAGCACGAAGGUGGGCUAAUCACGGUUGGACAUCGUGAGGUUAGUGCAAUGGCAUAAGCCCGCUUAACUGCGAGAAUGACGGUUCGAGCAGGUGCGAAAGCAGGUCAUAGUGAUCCGGUGGUUCUGUAUGGAAGGGCCAUCGCUCAACGGAUAAAAGGUACUCCGGGGAUAACAGGCUGAUACCGCCCAAGAGUUCAUAUCGACGGCGGUGUUUGGCACCUCGAUGUCGGCUCAUCACAUCCUGGGGCUGAAGUCGGUCCCAAGGGUAUGGCUGUUCGCCAUUUAAAGUGGUACGCGAGCUGGGUUUAGAACGUCGUGAGACAGUUCGGUCCCUAUCUGCCGUGGGCGUUGGAAGAUUGAAGGGGGCUGCUCCUAGUACGAGAGGACCGGAGUGGACGAACCUCUGGUGUUCGGGUUGUGUCGCCAGACGCAUUGCCCGGUAGCUAAGUUCGGAAUUGAUAAGCGCUGAAAGCAUCUAAGCGCGAAGCGAGCCCUGAGAUGAGUCUUCCCUGAUACUUUAAGUAUCCUAAAGGGUUGUUCGAGACUAGAACGUUGAUAGGCAGGGUGUGUAAGCGUUGUGAGGCGUUGAGCUAACCUGUACUAAUUGCCCGUGAGGCUUAACCAUACAACACCCAAGGGGUUUUGUA